rnacentral:rRNA from 1 species
UUUAUCGCUGAUGGAUGAGCCCGCGCCAGAUUAGGUAGUUGGUGAGGUAAUGGCUCACCAAGCUGACGAUCUGUAGCUGGUCUGAGAGGAUGAUCAGCCACACUGGGACUGAGACACGGCCCAGACUCCGUACGGGAGGCAGCAGGUGGGGAAAUUAGUUGGAACAAGUGGGACGAAAGCCUGAUCCAGCAAUACCGAGUGAGUGAUGAAGGCCUUAGGGUUGUAAAGCUCUUUUAGCAGGGAAGAUAAUGACGUUACCUGCAGAAAAAGCCCCGGCUAACUCCGUGCCAG